rnacentral:rRNA from 1 species
UACGUAGGGGGCGAGCGUUGUCCGGAAUCAUUGGGCGUAAAGAGCGUGUAGGCGGCUUGGCAAGUCUGACGUGAAAGCCCGCGGCUCAACCGCGGAUUGUCGUUGGAAACUGCCUCGCUAGAGUCCGGAAGAGGAGAGUGGAAUUCCUGGUGUAGCGGUGGAAUGCGCAGAUAUCAGGAAGAACACCCGUGGCGAAGGCGGCUCUCUGGGACGGUACUGACGCUGAGACGCGAAGCGUGGGAG